rnacentral:rRNA from 1 species
UAGGGAAUCUUCCACAAUGGACGCAAGUCUGAUGGAGCAACGCCGCGUGAGUGAAGAAGGUUUUCGGAUCGUAAAGCUCUGUUGUUGGUGAAGAAGGAUAGAGGCAGUAACUGGUCUUUAUUUGACGGUAAUCAACCAGAAAGUCACGGCUAACUACGUGCCAGCAGCCGCGGUAAUACGUAGGUGGCAAGCGUUGUCCGGAUUUAUUGGGCGUAAAGCGAGCGCAGGCGGAAAGAUAAGUCUGAUGUGAAAGCCCACGGCUCAACCGUGGAACUGCAUCGGAAACUGUCAUUCUUGAGUGCAGAAGAGGAGAGUGGAAUUCCAUGUGUAGCGGUGGAAUGCGUAGAUAUAUGGAAGAACACCAGUGGCGAAGGCGGCUCUCUGGUCUGCAACUGACGCUGAGGCUCGAAAGCAUGGGUAGCGAACAGG